rnacentral:rRNA from 1 species
UGCCAGCCGCCGCGGUAAUACGGAGGGGGUUAGCGUUGUUCGGAAUUACUGGGCGUAAAGCGCGCGUAGGCGGAUUAGUAAGUUAGGGGUGAAAUCCCGGGGCUUAACCCCGGAACUGCCUCUAAUACUGCUAGUCUUGAGUUCGAGAGAGGUGAGUGGAAUUCCGAGUGUAGAGGUGAAAUUCGUAGAUAUUCGGAGGAACACCGAUGGCGAAGGCAUCUCUCUGGGCCGAUAUUGACGCUGAGGCGCGAAGGCGUGGGUAGCGAACGGGAUUAGAUA